rnacentral:rRNA from 1 species
GGAAUAUUGCACAAUGGGCGCAAGCCUGAUGCAGCGACGCCGCGUGAGGGAUGACGGCCUUCGGGUUGUAAACCUCUUUCAGCCCCGACGAAGCGAAAGUGACGGUAGGGGCAGAAGAAGCACCGGCUAACUACGUGCCAGCAGCCGCGGUAAUACGUAGGGUGCGAGCAUUGUCCGGAUUUAUUGGGCGUAAAGAGCUCGUAGGCGGUCUGCCGCGUCGGAUGUGAAACCUCGGGGCUCAACCCCGAGCCUGCAUUCGAUACGGGCAGACUAGAGUGUUGCAGGGGAGACUGGAAUUCCUGGUGUAGCGGUGAAAUGCGCAGAUAUCAGGAGGAACACCGGUGGCGAAGGCGGGUCUCUGGGCAACUACUGACGCUGAGGAGCGAAAGCGUGGGGAGCAAA